rnacentral:lncRNA from 10 species
CCAAUCUCCAGUGAGUGCCUCUCCACAGCAGUCUACUCUGGCCAAGGAUUCUGGGUGGCAGUUUCCAGGCUUUCAGCCUCAGGAAUAGAGGGAAGCAAGCAGGGUAGAAUUGGGUCUGAAUAUCAGUACACACUAUCUGGCACACUGAGUGCAUGUGAUGUGGUUGGGAGAUGGAUCUCCUCCUGAAAUCCUAAAUCUCAUUAUCUUGCCUGUAGGUCUGGGUUGGGCAGUCUGGAUCCCAUGGAAGUAAUCGCUGCUGACAACUCCCAGAAAACCCCAACCACAGCUGUGGAUUUCAUGUUCAAUCAACUCUCUGAGCAGUGGAGGAGGGAAAACAUAGGGCAUUCUGUUGGGAGUUAUCAAUAUGAUGAAAGACAGGCCAAGUCUGACCGCUGGAAUUAACAAUCUCCAAACUCAAGAAGUGUCCUAUUCAGUCUCUUCUCAGAGGCAGACUUUUAAAUCUUAAACAAAGGAUCCAAUUAAAUUUGAUCCAAUUUAAAUCCAUUCAGCUUAGAAACCUUUAUUAAAUAUCUACGAUGGAUUGUGCCCUGGGCUAGAGAAUGCAGGUUUCCACAUUUGUGGCUGGCAGGUCGACACUGUGCUGGCACUUGUAGAUUCAAGUUGGAAUAGACUCCUGGUCCCCUGAACCCUUGGUUUUGGUUUCUUUGUUAUUUAAUUGCAUAGACUGCAUAUCCUUUUGGGAGAGGCACCGUAACCCCCAUUUCACAUAAAAGAUGAUUUAUGUUGAGAAUUUCCUCUGUGGUAGGCACUGAGCUGUGCACUAGAAAAGCCCAUCUCAUUAAAUUUUGCCACAACCCUGGAAUUAGGCUUAUCCUUAAACAUUUUUUUUGUUUUGUUUUUCCCAGUAGAUGAAGAAAUACAAGCUCUGAUAAGCUGAAGUGAACAAGGUGGCCACCAGGCUGUUGUCAGAAACACAUAGUCUUUAAGACCUAUGGUUGCAACACUAAGAUGUACUGCUUCUGGCAUAAGACUGAGAAUCAGCAAGCUAGUCCAAGGUGUUGUGGCACUGUCCAGCUUAAAGGCUUCUUCCACUUGCUUGCACAGACCUGGAACUUAGGGGAUCUCGUUUUUAUCCCAGCUUUGCCAUUCCCAAGCCACAUUCCCAUCCUUGGCCUCCAUUAUCUCAUAUGAAGAAUCAAAGAUGGAAUAAGAGAUGGCCUCCAUAGAAGCUAGGCUUGCAUAGGGUUGUUCUGUAGCUUGGAUUUUCCCUGUCUUAUUCCAAGUCUAAUUUUCCCACCCAUCAAAUCUGUCUUCUUAUCACCUAUUUCACAAGUCAUUCUUGUUUUAUAAUCUCAUCAAUUGAUUGCAUUAUUGCCCUGCCUGUGAUAUUUCCUCUUUCCUUUCUCUUUGCCCAGAUUAAACUUAUCCUCCAAACCUUGCUUCCCCCAGGUCACCUCCAGCCUAACCACCAGAAUGCCCAGUGCUCUCAUCCUCCUUGGAUCUCCUUUAGCACAUAUUUUUGUUUUUAUUUUUAUUUUGGGGAGACAGGGCCUUACUUUGUCACCCAGGCUGGAGAGGAGUGGUGUGAUCAUGGCUCACUGAAGCCCCCACCUCCCUGGCUUAAACAUCCUCCCACCUCAGCCUCUCGAGUAGCUGGGACUACAGGCAUGUGCCACCACAUCUGGCUAAUUUAUUUAUUUAUUUUGUUAUUCUGUAGAGAUGGGAUCUUGCAAUGUUGCAUAGGCUGUCUUGAACUCCUGUGCUCAAGCAGUCCUCCUGCCUUGGCCUCCCAAAGGGCUGGGAUUACAGAUGUGAGCCAUUUUGCUUUGCCUAGCACAUAUUUUUGUCUGAACUUCCCACCUGACACAUUUAAGUGACAGGGCAUUCUAUUAGCUUUUCAUGUGAGCAAUCCUUGUUUCACCAGUAUUUGACCUUUCAAUCCAUGGGCUAUAUAUGUGCCAUACUUUAAAAAUAUCCCCACAGUACCUACUAUGUAAGUCAGCACAUGGUAGGUAUUACUAAUUGCCAAUUAGUGAAGGACCUGGGGAAUGACCUAUAUAUGUGUUACUAGUUCAAGGAGGGAGAGGCCAAUGUGACCUAUAAUAGUUAGGAAGGGUUCUCCUAAG